UCCAUUAUAAAUUACCCAAUUUCAGGUAUGUCCUUAUAGCAGCAUGAGAAUGGACUAAUGCAUUAUCUUACUGAUAUAAUGGAAGGGUCAAAAAUUGGAAACAAGUACUUCAUGUCAGUAGACUCUACUUACCCUAGAAGCCUCUGUUUACUUUUUUAUUCACACGUAAUUAUUGAGGUCUUACUUUCUGCAAAGCCUUGUCUUACGUGCUGAGGAUAUAGCAGUGAAUUAAAUAAAGUUCUUAUUUUUGAAGAGCCUUGCAUUCUACUGAAGGAUAUGGCAAUAAAUAAAUAAAAACAUAUUAUGUUAUUAAUAUGAUAUCACACAUGCUAUAAAGAAAAAGCAGAAUAAAAGAAUAGGGGGCAGGGAGGUACUUUUUAAAAUAGCAUGGUCAAAAUAAACCUCCUUAGGAGUAACUAUGAGAUCUGAACAAAAUACAAAAGGACUCAACACAUAUGCAGUAAAGAAAAUGAAAGCCAAAAACAAGUCAGUAAUCCAUCCAGAUGACUGCUAUACACUGUUUUCAUUUUCCUCAUUGGCUAUAUAUAGUGAGUCAUUUUUUUCUUUGUUCCGAUCUCAAAGUUACAUGUAUUUGGAAUCAGAAAAAAAUUUUUAACUUGUUUUAUUUGGUAACCUAGAUCUCAGUUCAUCUAGGAUGAUGUUCUUUAAAAUAUAUAUAGCAGGCCAGAUAUACUGAAUUUACAGAUAUCAUUUAAGUUUGGCAUCAUUGUAUGUGCAUUGACAUUUAUUGUACAUAAAUUCAGUGAUGUUUAUGAUGGAAUUUUUGUAGUAAGCAAAAUUUAGGUUCCCUUUACCAUUUUGUCUAUAUGAAGAAGUGUGUUAGACUUGGUAGGAGGUAUCCUUGAAGUCACUUUUAGAAAAACAUUGGCUCUACUGAGUAGAGGAUGGGUUAGUUUCCUGAGUUUCUGUACCCCUCCAAUGAAAGACCAAUAACUUAAAAUUACAGAGGCUGCUACAUGGUCUUCUCCAGCAGGCUCAUGGAAAUGCCUACCCUUCUGACCCAGCCACUAGAGGGAUUGUUGUACCAUGGAGAAGCAGGUUUCCCCCAGUGUUUUGGGAGUGAUUCUGCUCAGGGCAUUGUCUGGAAAGUAUUCAUCAUCUUUUCUGAAGAAGUGAUGGAGGCAGGUCUUUAUCAGCAGCCUGAAAAUGGACUGGUAUCACAUCUUAAAGUAAAAUGGAAUAAUUAGUACUUCAAAUCAAGAAACCAAUAUGCAAGGUAAUAACUUUGUUUUCUUUUGUUAUAGUGACACAGUUAAACUCUUUGGGUAUUCAACAAUAUAAGGCAAGUAGGGCAGGGGUACAGGAGGGAGUAUUGGGAAGUCAUGGAGGAGAUUUGGGAAUGUUCAUUCAUGGGACUCAUGAUGAAACAGAUAACACUGUGAAUUAUCAAGAGACAAAGCAGGAAAAUCAGAAGGUUCUUGCCUUUACUAUUUUUAGGGAUCAAUAUCAGUGUUCUUGGACUGUGAGAAACAUGGGAAUGAGAAGACCUCCCAGAGUAGAAGAGACAGAUGGGCAGUUCUGUCGCUGGCACAGAAGCAUAAACUCAUCUCCUGAGUGAACCUGGCAGAGCUGAAGAGCCAUUCAAGCAUCAAUGACAUGCUGUGUAGUAAAGUGCUUGGGGUCCAGGGAAGUUUGGUACCGGGAUCCUCAGAGCUCUGAACCCUUGGGGCUGCUAUGGGUUCCGGAGUAUUUCACCGAUUUCAGUUAUCUAGUGGCGUUCCAUGUCUACUGGUUCUGCCCCAGUGUACCUGUUUGCAGAAUGUGCUCUGUACAUUGACAAGAUAAAAGAAGAUCUAAAGGGAACUGGAGAAAAACAGAACAGGCAGGGGAAAAAUGAAUGUAAAAUACUUGGGCUAUUUAACUUAAAGAAAAAAACGAAAGAUUACUCAGUUUUAGAUUACUGGGGAGUGAUCUAAUAAUUGGCUUUUAGGAAAACAGAGAUUUAUUGUGUAGAGUACAGUAGAGUUGGCACUCAACGAAGAACUCAAGUCUGUUGGAGUUCACGGAUACUGGCCUUUAGGGAGAGUUACAGAAAAUUGAAGAAGGAGGGGGCCCUAUCAGGAACAUUGGCCCAUCUGCCAUCAAGUCCAUUUGGUGUCUAAAUCAUUUCAAAGAGAUGAAGACAUCUCUCAUUUUUAGAGACAUAAUUGAUCCUAGAUGGGAUUAGGAUGGAAUGACAUGGAAGAGCUGGAUCUGAGGCAUGCUCUUGGAGAAGAGCUGAUGACUGACACCAGGAAAAUUCAGAGCCAGGAGGCAGGGAGAGGUAACUGCUUAGCAGUUCUUAAGCCUUCAGAGAUGACAGAAUCUGCUUUUGUUGUCUGAAGAGAUUGCCCUCCACAUUAGACAGAUAAGGAUGGAAAAAAACAUAAUCAGCUUUUCUUAAUUCACAUGUGGGAUGAAACUGGCAGGCAGCGGAGCUCAACCUACACAUCAAGAUAAGCUUAGCUUGUGGUCAGGCUGAAGGACUUGUCUUGAGUUGUUUCAAGUUAGUAGGAAUGACUUCCAGGGUGAAAAGCACUGUAAGGGAGAAAAGAUGUACAAAACACCGAAUGUCCUCUAUGGGUUUGUGGACAGACUUUCCACAUUGUUAGUGCAAAAGAUUUGUUACAUUUUAUAGAGUUAGUACACAUGAAAUGAAUCAGUGUUCAUACUUCUCAAGGUCAGAGUCCCAUAUACUGUUCACCUGAAUCUCAUAGACUAAGUAGCAGCUUGGAAAUAGCUUCACCACGCAGGCCAGAUCAAUUUGCAGGUCUCUUAGAACACAGAUUUCCCGUGUCUGACACUGUCAUCUGCCCUUGUUAGCCAUUGGACACAGGCCUGAUACCUUCUAAUUUACUAAACUCAUUUGAGAAUAAAACAUAAUACAAAGAAUUAAAGGGGUAAGAAAGAAGAUUUAGCAGUUGCCGUAUUUUGCUAUAUUUUCCAUUUAUUUUUCUUUUGGGAAAGAUUUUAAUUGUUAUAUGGUCUAGUUGAAAAGAAAUUUUACAGAACCUGUUAAUACAUAAAACUGGAGAACAUUUUUCUUAAUUAUUUUAAACUAUAAGACAAAGUCUGAGCAGCUAUUACACUUUGUGUAGUAAAUUGUUAGAGGUCUUUUGAAAUCAAAGAGUUAUGGUCACCUUGACUUUAUUUCAUUUUUUCCUUGCUAUACCUGAUGAUAAAUCAUUGCUUGGCAUGCUCUAAUGUGUACUUGUGUCUCAGUUUCAUGUUUGUAUUUCAUUUAUAUGGAAACAUUCUCCUUUACAGAGUGAAGUCAGUGUACAUCACCACUUAGCCCUGGAAAAGGUUUGCUUUUCUGGAAUUUGGUUCUGCUCUAUAUCAAGAUUUCAAUGUAAAAAGGUUAGAUUUCCACAGGUGGCUUUGCAUUAGUCAGAACUGAAAUCAGAGUCUAUUACUUAUAAGAGGUCAUGGAGCAACUAAUUCAAGACACAUGGGGGUCUUGCCAAACACGAUACAUCUAGUUAAUGGAAAAACUAUCACCAGAAUGUGUUGAGUGUUCUUUGCAUGUAACAUAUCACAGUAACUUUUGACUGGCUAUAUCUGGAUAAUACCUAAAUGGAACAAGACGCAGAGGAGUAGAAUUGGGAUGCACGUGAAGCUAUCAGACACUAGGUGGCAUCUGUCUCUUUUUGAGUCUGAUGGGUAGAUAGCGUUUCAAUUGGACUUGUACAUUGACGGGGAGUGGACAAUAAUUUGCAAUCUAUGAUCUUUUUUCUUUUAUAGAUUUGUGUGAACUAAGCUAACACCAAUGACUCGUAAACUAAUUUCAGCAUUGCAAAUGAGAGGUAGCAAGUUCUUGGGAGAUACAAAUAAUCCUUAUUAUAUAGCAUCUGCAACAAAGAACAGUGAAAUUUUAGAGAAAUGACAAGACAAAAGAGAAGACUUUGAAUUUUCAGCGGCAGCAAAUGGUGGGAAGGCAAAUAAAGUCCACCAAUGAUGGAAGCGUUACAUGGUGCAUGACUGUACUUUUUAAAACUCUGGUCAACAUGAGUGUCAGACUCUCUUGCUGACAACCCAGCCAUCUUUCUGCAAUUACAAGCAUCUCAGGAACUGCAUACACAGUGGAGAAGACAGAAAAAGGAUGGCACGAUGAAGCUUCAUUCAGACAGACAAGUAAGUAAACAAAUACAUAAGGUAUAAAUAAAGGACUACUCCAUGUUUUAUUUAUUUCAGUUAUCUAUUCUUAUAUAAUAAGCCACCCCCAAAUUUAGUGCCUUAAAGCAACUUUUUUAUUUUGCUCUUUGAUUUUGUAAGUCAGGAAUGUGGACAGGGUGUGGCUGGGUGGUGAACUCCAAUCACAGCAUCAGGUAGGGUGGUGGAUGGGGAGGAUCCACCUCUAAGAUGUCUACCACACUGGCACAUCCAGUAUUGGCAGUAUUGGCCCCUUUCUCUUGGGGUCUCAUCUUCUAGGGCCUCUCCAGGUGGCUUGGAUUUCUCAAAAAAUGGUUGCUCAGGGUGGCCAUACUUUUUACAUGAUGUCUGGCUUCCAAAAGUCACAAAGCAAAAGUUGUCAAAAUAGUGAAGGAUGAUUCUGGCAGUGGUACACUGGCAUUUCUCAUGUAAUCCAUCUCAGGGUACCUAAAUUCAAGAAGGGAUUGAAAAAUAGUCUCCACCCUUAAAUGGGGGGCUAGGGGAGGUAGCAAGUUUCCAUUGCAGAACAGCAGGUGGGAUGGAAAAUAUUUUCGUGUCUAUCUUUGGAAAAUACAAUCUACUACAUGAGUGAAGAAGACGUAAUAUGAAGAGGAGUGGAUUGCAGGGUUGCAGGGUGCCCUUAUUAUAGUUGUACCAGCCAUGAGAAGGAGUAGAGGAUGUUCUAGUUUGAGGAAGUCGAAAUACAAAUGGUCAAUUGACAUUCACAUAAUGUGCCUUUAACAAUACUGAUGACAGUGGUUGGAUGAGAAUUGGCAAGCCAAGAAACAAAUUCAACUAGUCUUGUUUAUCCAUCUUCUCUGAGCAUUUUCUUUAGUUCAUUCUUAAUCAUUUACACUUUUAUGCCUAAUUGUUUGCUGGAGGUGAUACAUUGCAAUAGUGACUGCUUAGGUAUGGUUGCGGUGCAAGGUUCUUAAAUCCAGUUCAAGCAAAUGCAGACAUGUUAUCAAGAUGGAUGUUGCCUAUAAAAUCUAUGUUCCAUAUAACUAGAGCAGAACUUGGUGUUGGCAGUACCGUGAGAUGGAGCAGAGAGCGCAUCGAUACAUUUUGCGAUGAUGUCCAUGACAAUCAAGGCAUAUUUUGUCCCUUAAUAUUUUUGUAAAAUCAAUAUGGAUUAUUGAUCCCAGCUCCUUAAAGCCUUCUUGGGAAGUUGUGUAUACCAUUAGCAAUGCAUGAGGUAAUUCAACAGUUGGGACAUUCUUUUAGUUUUCCAGGAUUAGAAUCCCUUAUAAAUCACCAGUCCUUGUUCUACCUAAUGCUUUCAAGUAAAUAAUCCUAUGAUGUGCUGCACAGCAUCUGUUGUAUCAGUGGCUUUUGUUUUUUUUUCUUUUGGUGCAUAAGUGUUUCUGGAGGUAUUUGAAAAAUGUAGACUUCCAGAUUUCACAUUCAAGGAUUUAGAGUCAGUCUGGAGUAAGAUCUGAGCAUGUGUAUUUGGAAUACAUGCUGGAUAACGCUGAGGUAGAUGCUCAAAAUAUUUACCACUUUGAGUUAGUAGGUUUAUGAUGGCUGGUGUCCAUAUGGAUCUAGGAAAUUUCUGCAUCAGGCAAAGAGAAUAAAGCAUCAUCUACCUAUAUGUCCUUUACCCCUGUUUUAGUCCAUUUCGUGAUGCUAUAACAGAAUACCAGAGGCUGGGUAAUUUAUAAAGAAAAGAGUUUGUUUUUGUUUUUUUAAGUUCAUGAUUCUGGUGACUGGAAAGUCCAAGAUCAUGGCACUGGCAUUUGCUCAGCUUCUGGUGAGGGCCACAUGCUGUGUCAAGACAUGGUAGAGGCAUGGACAGGUGAGUGGGUGUAUAAAGAAAGCAAACACGAGGAGGAACAACCUGCUCUCGUGGUAACUGGUCUAGUUCUGUGGGAGUGAAAACUCAUUCUUGUGAGAUAACAUUAAUCUAUUCAUGAGAAAUCUGCCCCUAUGACUCACCUCCCACAAGACCCCACCUCCCAAUGCUGCUGCAUUAGUAAUCAAAUUUCAGCGUGAGUUUUGGCAGGGGCAUACUACAUUCAAACCACAGCAACUCUUUGUCUUUCUUCUCUGUCUAUACUAACAGUUUAAGCCCUGUAUGAGGGGUAAACUGUAGAAUACAUGCCUUAAAAUGAAGGUAGUUUUGUAAUUCUGACAAAAUAACAAUACUACAAAUGACAUAAUACUAAAAUACGUACUAUUUCUGUUAUUUUACUUUAGUUCCAAUCCUCACAUUAUCUGAUUUAAACCAAAGGAGCAACAACAAAUCAAAGCUUGGAUUAAGAAAAGGAUUGCUCUGAAGGGACCAAGAGCCUACUCAUUUACAUUCACGGAGCGUUCUUUUAGUGUACUUGCUUUUACAGAUAGACUGGUCCAUCUGCAGUGAAUCAGCAGGCCUGUUUACUUAGCUCUUGGCUUUCUUAUAGUUCUAGAGAAAUAUCAGUGGUUGAGAUAAUUAUACAGUGAGACUACAGUUAUUGUGGGGAAAUUGCCUUGUCAAAGAUGGGUGCGCAAUAAUGCAGUCUCUGCAAAAAGCCAUGCCACAGCCUUUUCAUCACUUUAUUAUUAACUCCUUAGUUACCAGUUUAUCAUGGUAACUAGGGUAGAUUUUAAAAAAACAUGGAAAGGUAAAAAAAACUCAAUAACUAUGCA